CGUGAGUUUGCCUAUACCGUUCUUUCUUUUUUCACGUUCGUUCGUUCAUCUUCUUCAUACCUGUUCGUUCUAGAGGAGUUUAAAAAAAAGAAUUCCAAGUGAAAAAUCAAACCACAUUGUCUCUCGAAUAUAUUUUUGCACGUUGACAUGGCGAAAUGAGCACCCGACAUCUUGUUUCUCCUCUUCUUCCUCCUUUCGAGCGUGAAUCAUCUGACAAGCCGAUUCAUUGAACAACAACCAAAAAGAAACGUGUAGAGAAUUCGUCAGCAUCGU